AGGUUUUCUCUUCGUUUGCAAGUAAUCUGGAGAGUAUUGUCGAUCAGAGGGUGUUAGGUCAUCUCCAUCUUCAAGCCGUGGUGUUAAUGGAGUGUUAUUUCCAAUCUGAUUAUUGUGGAUGGACACACCCUGAUGACAUGCCCAACAAGUGGAACUUAACCAGUGCUAAACCCUUUGUUAACUAUCCAGGUAGCUUUGCUUUUAUUGAUGGCCCUUACAAAGUACAAUUGGACAGUCCUUUAUUGCCAUGGCAACCGUUCCAUAGAUCCGUGGGCGUGUGUCUGCGUUUCCAUUACCUCAUGCCUUCUAAGUCGAAGCCGACUCUCAAGG